rnacentral:rRNA from 1 species
UACGGAGGGGGCUAGCGUUGUUCGGAAUUACUGGGCGUAAAGCGCACGUAGGCGGAUUGGAAAGUCAGGGGUGAAAUCCCGGGGCUCAACCCCGGAACUGUCUUUGAAACUCCCAGUCUUGAGGUCGAGAGAGGUGAGUGGAAUUCCAAGUGUAGAGGUGAAAUUCGUAGAUAUUCGGAGGAACACCAGUGGCGAAGGCGGCUCACUGGCUCGAUACUGACGCUGAGGUGCGAAAGCGUGGGGAGCAAACAGG